rnacentral:rRNA from 1 species
AGUGAACGCUGGCGGCAGGCCUAACACAUGCAAGUCGAACGGCAGCACAGAGGAGCUUGCUCCUUGGGUGGCGAGUGGCGGACGGGUGAGGAAUACAUCGGAAUCUGCCUAGUCGUGGGGGAUAACGUAGGGAAACUUACGCUAAUACCGCAUACGACCUACGGGUGAAAGCGGGGGAUCGCAAGACCUCGCGCGAUUAGAUGAGCCGAUGUCCGAUUAGCUAGUUGGCGGGGUAAUGGCCCACCAAGGCGACGAUCGGUAGCUGGUCUGAGAGGAUGAUCAGCCACACUGGAACUGAGACACGGUCCAGACUCCUACGGGAGGCAGCAGUGGGGAAUAUUGGACAAUGGGCGCAAGCCUGAUCCAGCCAUGCCGCGUGGGUGAAGGAGGCCUUCGGGUUGUAAAGCCCUUUUGUCCGGAAAUGAAAAGCACUGGAUUAAUACUUCGGUGUUCUGACGGUACCGGAAGUAUAAGCACCGGCUAACUUCGUGCCAGCAGCCGCGGUAAUACGAAGGGUGCAAGCGUUACUCGGAAUUACUGGGCGUAAAGCGUGCGUAGGUGGUUCGUUAAGUCUGAUGUGAAAGCCCCUGGGCUCAACCUGGGAAUUGCAUUGGAUACUGGCGGGCUAGAGUGCGGUAGAGGAUGGCGGAAUUCCCGGUGUAGCAGUGAAAUGCGUAGAGAUCGGGAGGAACAUCUGUGGCGAAGGCGGCCAUCUGGGACCAGCACUGACANUGAGGGCACGAAAAGCGUGGGGGAGCAAAAC